UGAGAAAUUGUGUAGAUGUGAAUUUACUGU
rnacentral:piRNA from 1 species